rnacentral:rRNA from 1 species
GUGUCAGCAGCCGCGGUAAUACGAAGGGGGCUAGCGUUGUUCGGAAUCACUGGGCGUAAAGAGCACGUAGGCGGAUCUUUAAGUCAGGGGUGAAAUCCCGAGGCUCAACCUCGGAACUGCCUUUGAUACUGGGGAUCUCGAGUCCGGGAGAGGUGAGUGGAACUGCGAGUGUAGAGGUGAAAUUCGUAGAUAUUCGCAAGAACACCAGUGGCGAAGGCGGCUCACUGGCCCGGAACUGACGCUGAGGUGCGAAAGCGUGGGGAGCAAACAGGAUUAGAAACCCUAGUAGUCC